rnacentral:precursor_RNA from 1 species
GGGCGGCCCGUCGUCGGUCCUCGCUGCGGGUGUGGUGGGCCGCUGGG